rnacentral:rRNA from 1 species
GCAUAUCAAUAAGCGGAGGAAAAGAAACUAACAAGGAUUCCCCUAGUAACGGCGAGUGAAGCGGGAAGAGCUCAAAUUUGUAAUCUGGCACUUUCAGUGUCCGAGUUGUAAUCUCGAGAAGUAUUUUCCGCGCCGGACCGCAUACAAGUCUGUUGGAAUACAGCGUCAUAGUGGUGAGAGCCCCGUAACUGAUGCGGAUGCCCGGUGCUUUGUGAUAUACUUUCGAAGAGUCGAGUUGUUUGGGAAUGCAGCUCAAAUUGGGUGGUAAAUUCCAUCUAAAGCUAAAUAUUGGAGCAAGACCGAUAGCGAACAAGUACCGUGAGGGAAAGAUGAAAAGCACUUUGGAAAGAGAGUUAACAGUACGUGAAAUUGUUGGAAGGGAAACGCUUGAAGUCAGACUUGCUAUUCGGAGUUCAGCCGCAAGGUGUAUUCUUCGAUUUGCAGGCCAGCAUCAGUUUUUGGGGAUGGAAAAUCGCGGUUUGAAGGUAGCAGUUUCGGCUGUGUUAUAGCUUUCCGCUGGAUUCAUCCUUGGGGACUGAGGAACGCAGUACGCUUUUUGCAAGGCCCUCGGGCUUUUCGUACUUAGGAUGCUGGUGGAAUGGCUUUAAACGACCCGUCUUG